GCGGGGCCGAGGGAGCCGCUGCGGGACGCGCGCGCACGGGAGCGGCGGCGCGCGAGCCCAACGGCCGCGGCGCGAGAGGCGGGAGCGCGCGCGGGCGCUGAGGGGAAGAUGCUCCUCUGUUCCCCCCCCACCCUCCAAAAAGGGUGGAGCAUCUGGAUCCUCAGGUGUCUGGUGAGGCGUCUGCUCAGACCAGCACCGCUUCCUCAAUUCUAACAGCCAACCUGUGGGCCUGCUCAGAUGAAGCUGAAAGCAGGGGAAACCCCUUUGUAACAUGAAUAAUGAAAUGGAAGUUCCACAACAAUUCUUGAAGAUUUCUUCCCUGCUAUUGCAUCUGCUCUAAUGUGAUCAAAAUUCCCCAUCAACUUUAAGGGAGCUUUCUGAGCAAGAACUGUAAGUAACCUCAGAAUGAGAGUAUGUUGAGUGAAAAAUUAAGAACAAAACAGUAGAGGCUUGGGGAGAGUGUCUGUUGUCCAUUUAAGGUUUUUUUCCAGACCUCAGAGGUUUUACAGUUCAUGUUUAGUUAUACCAAGUAGGAAGAAAUAAGUGACAUCAGACAGGGAAUAUCCUGUAUGUUUGUCUACGAUCCGGAGCAGUUCUCUGCAUCAGCAUCAAUAUAAACGCAUCAGAGCUUCUUGUCAGGCAGAAUGUUAAUUGUGAGAACAGGUACUUAGCAUUUUCAGCCAUGCCUAACUAACAUCUCCACAUCUGUGUCAUCCCUUUUUAGCCACAUGGGUAUUGAAUCCAUAAUUUUCGACUGAAUUACAAUUAAAAGUACAAUCUAGCAGAUUCACACAAAUCUAGCAGUGACUUCCAAUAACAACUUUUGUUAUUAAAAAUAAACUACUUGAUUAUAAGUUCUAACUUUAAGUACUUAGUUGUUUUAAAUACAUCUUAAACUCAAGAGAAGUCAAUGCAGUAUAUUCCCCAGGCAGAACUGCAACAGUACAGCCAGAUUCUAACUCCUGCUGUAUCACUGAAUUGCACAUUAGACAAGCCUUAAUUUACUUGAAGAGCUAAAUUGGUACUUAAACUGUGAAACAGUUGGUGAAAGUAUUAUAUUUAAUACCUCUAUUCAUCUGAAGAGGGAGGCGCUUGCAGCUUUUUGUUGCCUUUCAAUCACUUGGACUGGCAGGAAGGAUGUCAGCUGAUAUGAUCAGAAAUAAAUCGCAAACUAUCUAUCUUGAUUUUUAAAUGUAAUAGCCAUUCCUUAAAGUUUCCAUAGGCUUAGACUCCUAACAGAACAGUAGGCAAAUAUUGCCUUACAAAAAAAUUCAUUUGAAUUUAGUAUUAAACUAACUCAGGUCUUUUCCUGCUUAGCCAAUAAAACAUUUACCUGUGGUUUUGACUUUCAUCUGCUAACUACAAGACAGUCUAUUAAUGUCGUCUAUGAACUUCCCCUUGUUAUUUGCUGCAUACAAAGAAAAUAUAUUUAUAUAUUUUUUUAAAUCUAAAAGCAAGCCUUAAACGUUACAGCAAGAACAGCAGUUACCUGGAACAAUAGCUUUGGUACAAACUUCUGUUGUGGCCAGUGGAGUGAGACUGAGCAAAAGCUCUUGCUGACUUGCCUUCUGUCAAACAAGUUCCUGCCAGUGUGAGUAGCGGUUCUUCUGAACUGGGUCAGAAAGAUGAAUUAUAGGGCACACUAUGCAUUUCCUCUGACACGGAGCAAAGUGCAGCCCCUUCUGCUAAUUGUUAGCAAUUACAGCUAGCUGUUAUAUGCAGAUAGGUGGCUAGAAAAGCAAGACACUGUAAUUGCAUCAACAGCGCUAUGCCAUCUUGGAUCCCUAAUGCACAGAAACAUCGAGCUGAUUUUCUUCUCUAGCAUUUUCCUUUAGUAUAGAGCACUGUGGCCAUUCAGUUUAACAAAACAGAAGAGGGUUUGUAUCCCCUGCUAAAGGCUUGCUUACCUCUUCAAACCGCAGCUGCCUCAGUUUCGUUUUAUUAUGAAAUUAAGUUAGCUUCACAGAAUACCACGUUACUGGUAAUUGCCUCCCUAUCCUUUGCCGCAGACCCUUGCUGGUGCCUCCUCACUUUCAUCCAUGUUUUUGCAGUCUUCAUGUCACUUGACCCCAGUAGCUUGGGCAAUGCUGGCAUGAAACCCAUAUUUAUCAGCUCAGCAGAGGUUAUUAGCUUCCAUUUCACAUAGAGCCCUGCAUCACCUUUGAUGUUCGCAUCUCUCAUUAGAGAGGCAUUCCUCACCAGCUGGGGAUGGUGCUUAGGAUCUUCCCCAGGUCGGUAAAUAAUGAACUAGAUGGAGUACAUUUCUGUGUUUGAGAUUCAGUUUGUGUGCAUGGACGUAGUUAUGCCCAUAAGAAGAAUGAAAAAAUACACAGUACUAAAAAUAUAAUUGUAGUAGAAUUAUUUCUGUUCAAAUCUCUGUUCUUCUGAGCUCCCUCCCUUAGGAUUAUCUAUUAAUUUUCAUGUCCAAUUUUACCCCUGGUUAUUUGUCAUUUACGUCUGAAAACAGAUUUUCUCUCUAUGAAAUACUAGUGAAACAAUUAAAAGCUUUUAAGAAAUCCCUAUUCUGCCUUUGGGAAAAUCCUUUUACAAGCUUGCACAGCGAGAAAAUACAAGCUAUGCUUUUAAAUCAUUACAUCAAAAAAACCUGAUAUUAAAACAUUUGAACUAAGACAAAGAAGUGAAGGUCAAGAAAAAUAAAUAAUGCUGAAUAAAAGUGGUAAUGACACUUACUAGAUAGCAUUCCUGAUUAAGCUUCUUGCAAGUGUGUGGAUCAUGAGACACCUAAAACUGGGAACAGCCUACUCAUUCACACCUCUGAAGAGGCCACCAUUAACUGUAAGACCCCUUUGUUUGCAUUAUGUCCAGAUGGUUCAAUUCACUGUAAUACCAGUUUAACUGUGAAUUCAAGUUAAUUGGAGAUGAACACAAAAUGGGAAUUCUUUCCGAUUCCUGUUCACCUCUGAAGAUGGGCCAUCAAGGUUUGUAAAGGCACCUCAGAAUUCCAAAGUAUGGGUUGAGAGCAGCGUUAGCGAAUCACAGUGAACACACGGGCUGCUGUCAGUAGCACACAAUUUCUGACAUGUGCACAUCACCUUCACUUCACAUCUCCUGAAUGAGCUCAUGGUGUAUGGGAACAAUACCCAGUUUAGUUUCUAUAGUCUAUCAGGAGUGAUCUUGAGAAGGAACUCCAAGGCUCCUAUUAUGUAUACAAAUACAGUAUGAUAGCUCAAUUAUACAUUUUACUAAAUGUAAAUAUUAUAAAUAUUUAUAAUAUACAUAUGAGAAAUGUAAAUUUUUCCUAAGGUGAUCAAAUAAUACUGAAGUUCUUUAUGAUUUGUACAUACUGCUCUGUUACAAAUUUCCUGAGAUCAUCUAAGUUAAAGCUAUAACAUAGUGUCCUGCUUACUUAAAGGUCAAAGGAUGGUUUGGCGAAAAAGUAAUUUUUUUUCUGUAAUUUCAGGCUUAUACUGAGAUAUCAGAUUUUCUUUUUGUAAUCUAUUAUAAAGCAGUUUCAUACUACUGAUUUUUAAUGCUUAUAUUAAUAAACAUUAAAUAACAUUAAUAAGCAUGCUAAAAGUAUUUGAUUUGUUUGAUUUAAAAAAAAUAGCUUAGGUAAGAUUAGAAUUCCAAUUUCUGUAUAUAUCGGUUCUUGACUCCAGCUUGAUAACUCUUGUGUGGGCCAGAAAGGGUUUAUUUUUCCUUAAGAUUAUUACUUUUCAAUAUUAGGAACA